GUGUCAGCAGCCGCGGUAAUACGUAGGUGGCAAGCGUUGUCCGGAUUUAUUGGGCGUAAAGCGAACGCAGGCGGGAGAAUAAGUCAGCUGUGAAAGCCCUCAGCUUAACUGGGGAACUGCAGCUGAAACUAUUUUUCUUGAGUGCAGAAGAGGAGAGUGGAACUCCAUGUGUAGCGGUGGAAUGCGUAGAUAUAUGGAAGAACACCAGUGGCGAAGGCGGCUCUCUGGUCUGUAACUGACGCUGAGGUUCGAAAGCAUGGGUAGCGAACAGGAUUAGAUACCCUGGUAGUCCAUGCCGUAAACGAUGAGUGCUAAGUGUUGGGAGGUUUCCGCCUCUCAGUGCUGCAGCUAACGCAUUAAGCACUCCGCCUGGGGAGUACGACCGCAAGGUUGAAACUCAAAUAAAUUGACGG
rnacentral:rRNA from 1 species